UUUCUUCUUCUGAUGAAUGUGAACGAGUGGAUGAGUUAUGAAUGUUCAGAUGAGGGUAUAUCAUAGAUAUCUUAUAUAUAGUUCAUCCACUCGUUCACAUGCAUCAGAAGAAGAAA